AGAGUUUGAUCCUAGCUCAGGGUGAACGCCGGCGGCGUGGAUGAGGCAUGCAAGUCGAAUGGGCUUAGACCCAUGGCAGACGAGGUAGGAACAUGUGGGUACAUACCGAGAAGUCGGGGAUAACCUGUCGAAAGGCAGAAUAAUACUCGAUAGUCCCUUCGGGGUAAAGAUUUAUCGCUUCUUGAAUGGCCCGCAUUCUAUCAGCUUGAUGGUAAGGUAACGGCUUACCAUGGCUACGACGGAUAGGGGAGGUGAGAGCCUGACCCCCACCGAUGGAACUGAGACACGGUCCAUACUCCUACGGGAGGCCGCAGUCGAGAAUCUUCCGCAAUGGACGAAAGUCUGACGGAGCGACGCCGCGUGGUGGAUGAAGCCCUUAGGGGCGUAAACACCUUUUAUGGAGGAGGAAUUUUAUUGACGUUACUCCAUGAAUAAGGGGCUCCCAAUUCUGUGCCAGCAGGAGCGGUAAUACAGAAGCCUCAAGCGUUACCCGGAUUCACUGGGCGUAAAGGGUGCGUAGGCGGUUAUAUUAGUCUUGUGUUAAAACUUCAGGCUCAACCUGAAGAUCGCAUAGGAAACGGUAUAACUAGAAUGAGUCAGAGGUGUACGGAACUCAAGGUGUAGGGGUGAAAUCCGUUGAUAUCUUGGGGAACACCAAAUGCGAAGGCAGUACACUGGGACUUCAUUGACGCUGAGGCACGAAAGCGUGGGUAGCGAACGGGAUUAGAUACCCCGGUAGUCCACGCCCUAAACGCUGUCUGCUAGCUAUGGGGAGUAUCGACCCUCUCCGUGGCGUAGGUAACCCGUUAAGCAGACCGCCUGGGUAGUACGAGCGCAAGCUUAAAACUCAAAGGAAUAGACGGGGGCUCGCACAAGCGGUGGAGCGCGUGGCUUAAUUCGUCGCUAAGCGAUAACCUUACCAAGGCUAGAAACCAUACUGCACGCCUAGGGAAACUUAGGAAGUCUUCGAGAGUGUAUGGCAGGUGAUGCAUGGCCGUCGUCAGUUCGUGGCUUGAGCUGUUCCCUUAUGUGGGGAAACGAACGCAUCCCUCGUUGCCUGUUAUAAGUGUCAGGCGAGACUGCUCCCUCACGGGAGAGGAAGGUGAGGAUGACGCCAGGUCAGCAUGUCCCUUGAUGCCUUGGGCUGCACACACGCUACAAUGGGUAGUACAACGAGAUGCAAUACCGUAAGGUGGAGCAAAUCUUUAUAAAGCUAUCCCCAGUUCGGAUUGUGGUCUGCAACUCGACCACAUGAAGUCGGGAUCGCUAGUAAUCGCGGUACAGCAUGCCGCGGUGAAUACGUUCCCGAGCCUUGUACUCACCGCCCGUCAAGUCAGGGGAGUCGGGAGUGCCCGAAGUCCGUGUUAAUCACGGCCGACGGUAAGCUCGAUAACAAGGGCUAAGUCGUAACAAGGCA
rnacentral:rRNA from 1 species